UACGUAGGGGGCGAGCGUUGUCCGGAUUUAUUGGGCGUAAAGAGCGUGUAGGCGGCCAGGUAGGUCUGCUGUGAAAACUCGAGGCUCAACCUCGAGACGUCGGCGGAAACCAUCUGGCUAGAGUCCGGAAGAGGAGAGUGGAAUUCCUGGUGUAGCGGUGAAAUGCGCAGAUAUCAGGAGGAACACCGGUGGCGAAGGCGGAUCUCUGGGCCUGUCCUGACGCUGAGGCGCGAAAGCUAGGGGAGCGAACAGG
rnacentral:rRNA from 1 species